UCGAACGCUUCUUUUUCCACCGGAGCUUGCUCCACCGGAAAAAGAGGAGUGGCGAACGGGUGAGUAACACGUGGGUAACCUGCCCAUCAGAAGGGGAUAACACUUGGAAACAGGUGCUAAUACCGUAUAACAAUCAAAACCGCAUGGUUUUGAUUUGAAAGGCGCUUUCGGGUGUCGCUGAUGGAUGGACCCGCGGUGCAUUAGCUAGUUGGUGAGGUAACGGCUCACCAAGGCCACGAUGCAUAGCCGACCUGAGAGGGUGAUCGGCCACAUUGGGACUGAGACACGGCCCAAACUCCUACGGGAGGCAGCAGUAGGGAAUCUUCGGCAAUGGACGAAAGUCUGACCGAGCAACGCCGCGUGAGUGAAGAAGGUUUUCGGAUCGUAAAACUCUGUUGUUAGAGAAGAACAAGGAUGAGAGUAACUGUUCAUCCCUUGACGGUAUCUAACCAGAAAGCCACGGCUAACUACGUGCCAGCAGCCGCGGUAAUACGUAGGUGGCAAGCGUUGUCCGGAUUUAUUGGGCGUAAAGCGAGCGCAGGCGGUUUCUUAAGUCUGAUGUGAAAGCCCCCGGCUCAACCGGGGAGGGUCAUUGGAAACUGGGAGACUUGAGUGCAGAAGAGGAGAGUGGAAUUCCAUGUGUAGCGGUGAAAUGCGUAGAUAUAUGGAGGAACACCAGUGGCGAAGGCGGCUCUCUGGUCUGUAACUGACGCUGAGGCUCGAAAGCGUGGGGAGCAAACAGGAUUAGAUACCCUGGUAGUCCACGCCGUAAACGAUGAGUGCUAAGUGUUGGAGGGUUUCCGCCCUUCAGUGCUGCAGCUAACGCAUUAAGCACUCCGCCUGGGGAGUACGACCGCAAGGUUGAAACUCAAAGGAAUUGACGGGGGCCCGCACAAGCGGUGGAGCAUGUGGUUUAAUUCGAAGCAACGCGAAGAACCUUACCAGGUCUUGACAUCCUUUGACCACUCUAGAGAUAGAGCUUCCCCUUCGGGGGCAAAGUGACAGGUGGUGCAUGGUUGUCGUCAGCUCGUGUCGUGAGAUGUUGGGUUAAGUCCCGCAACGAGCGCAACCCUUAUUGUUAGUUGCCAUCAUUCAGUUGGGCACUCUAGCAAGACUGCCGGUGACAAACCGGAGGAAGGUGGGGAUGACGUCAAAUCAUCAUGCCCC
rnacentral:rRNA from 1 species